AACACUCUACCAACUUCUCCAAAAUAGAAAACAUCGACUCAAAAACUUCUUCACUCUAUCUGUUCUCUAAGAAUUGAACAGAAGACUCUUGGGAACACGUCUCUUAGAUAUUCACGGUCAAUAGCGAUGGUUGGAGAAAAAUCCUGAAUUGUUGUAGGAAAUCCGCAAGCAGCUUCUCUCCCAUGGUAUCUUUGAGUGAAAUCAGCUAAGUAGAGUCCAAUUUGUGCGUCUCUCCAAGGUUACUUAAGAAGUUUGCAUAUACAAAGCACACGUUUCUCUUGUAGAAGCUAUAAAAAGAUGAUCUUCAUCUCUUUUAUAUGAUUGAUGAACAACGAAAUCAUAUUUUUCUUCUUUUGAUUUGGUUUGACUUUGCUUCAAUUGAAACUAUUCAGACCUUAUCUUGGUGUUUCCAUAUCUUCAAGGGGCACGUGUCAAAAGAAGAAGCACAACCUUUCGUCGUCACUGCUCAACACUUUUUGUUCAUCAAGCUUGGUCAUUUGGUUGUAUUGCUCUUGUCAAUUGCUACUGACAUAUAGGUUCUUAGAGUGUUCUUCUCAUCAAGGUAACUUUGUACUUUUGAAAAUGUAUUAAUAAAUUUUAUUAUGUGUUA